UACGUAGGGUGCAAGCGUUAAUCGGAAUUACUGGGCGUAAAGCGUGCGCAGGCGGUUUCGUAAGUCUGAUGUGAAAUCCCCGGGCUUAACCUGGGAAUUGCAUUGGAGACUGCGAGGCUAGAAUCUGGCAGAGGGGGGUAGAAUUCCACGUGUAGCAGUGAAAUGCGUAGAGAUGUGGAGGAACACCGAUGGCGAAGGCAGCCCCCCUGGGACGGUAUUGACGCUGAGACGCGAAAGCGUGGGGAGCGAACAGG
rnacentral:rRNA from 1 species